rnacentral:rRNA from 1 species
CGACCGGCGCACGGGUGAGUAACACGUAUGCAACCUGCCCUCUUCAGGGGGACAACCUUCCGAAAGGGAGGCUAAUCCCGCGUAUAUCGGUUUCGGGCAUCCGAGAUCGAGGAAAGAUUCAUCGGAAGAGGAUGGGCAUGCGGCGCAUUAGCUAGACGGCGGGGUAAUGGCCCACCGUGGCGACGAUGCGUAGGGGUUCUGAGAGGAAGGUCCCCCACACUGGUACUGAGACACGGACCAGACUCCUACGGGAGGCAGCAG